CUCCCACCUCUUCCCACCGCACUCCGUCUCCUCAGGAGUCCCUGUUGUGCAGUAGUGUGGAUUAAAAUAAUUAAACAGCCUCUGUUUUAAUUAAGACAAUAAAGCCAGGGGUCUCUAGGUAAGACCUGAGAGAGAUUGCGGGAGAGGGGGGAGGCAGGGGGGAGAGAUGAUAAGGUGUUCUAACGAGAGAGGAGGGAUGAUAGGAGUUACAGAGGGAGAUCCAUUAUCUUCAUACUUAUCUAUCUUGUCUAUUUCUAGGCAUGAGAUUGCUCUUCCUGCAUGAGGAUGUUUGCGCUGGUUCUCCAUGUACCAAACCUGUGUGUGUGUGUGUGUGUGUGUGUGUGUGUGUGUGUGUGUGUGUGUGUGUGUCUGUUUGAGGCCCAUAUAUGUGCAUGAAUGUAUAAACACACUUAUAUUGCCUUCCCCUUUGCCUCGUGUGUGUGUGUGUGUGUGUGUGUGUGUGUGUGUGUGUGUGUGUGUGUGUGUGCGUGCAUCCUCAUUCUGUCCCCCCCCCCCCUCGGCCCGCUAAUGAAAUAUUUAUUUAUUUCUCAAAGCGAGGGCGGCGCGUGGCGAGGAACUCAAAUGAAAUGUCAUAUCUCAUUGCGUCCCCCCGUGAGGAGGCGGAGGCAAAGGGAGCGGACGAGCGGAAUUGCUGCUGAAUUAUAUACAGAGGAUUCAGAGGGGAGUGAUUACAGGACGGAGAGGGAGGGGGCAGAAAGAGUAAGACGGGACGGGGGGACGGGGGGGGGCAACAUACUCAUUCAUCUCCCAUCACGUAUUGUUGUGUGUUUGUGUGUCGUGUUGCUUCUCUGUGACAUCAUCAGAGCUUCAGAUGUUGAACUCUUGCUGUUUUGACGACUGUUUGCUGCUGUACACACACACGCACAUGCAUGCACACACAAGCACGCACGCACGCGCACACAAACGCACACACACACACUGAGGAGAGCCACAGCAGUGUUUUUAACACAGCCCAUCUACACUUACCAGAGGGACCAGCUUAUCUAGUGGUAGCUGUUAUCAUUGCACUGAGAGCGCGCACACACGCACACACACACGCACACACACACGCACACACACACACACACACACACACACGCACACACACUCACACACACACACACGCACACACUGUGUCUUGCCACGAAACCGAGGGAGAUUAGGAAUUCCUAAUCUUCUACUUGUGUUGCACAAACAUGCACAGACGCACACUGCGCUGUUUCCUAAGCGGAGGCUCUCGAGGGACAGCGCGGCCUGCGGCGCCGCGGCCUGAAGGGGGCGCCGGCUCGUCGACUUCCAAUAAACCCGCAUUAUGUUUUGUUUGUGUUUUUGAGUUUUACGACACUUUAGUUGCCAAAACUCCUACGUAGGCUCCGGUCAGCCGGGCCCGUGAGUCGCUCGCCGGGUUCGCUCAUUUAUUCAGAGGUUUUGUGUUUAAGACCUUUUACAACAACAUUUGGAGAAAAGACAAAUAUGCACCUGCUGAAGCCACCAGACGAGGGUCGGGUUCGAAGGUGAAGAGCCUCCGUUCCCUCGAGAGUUUCUCGGCGUGGCCGCUUCCUCUGGCCGGGCCUUUUUCCCACGACCUUCUGCGUCGGCGCCGCAGGUGCAAAAACACGCCGAUCAACAAACAAACACACUGUGGAAACCAACACGGGGGCUAAUGACGGGACAGCUGCGCUCCGCUCGCCAAGGCUCCCUUCCAUUAGUCCACUGCCUCUUUAUGACUUUCCCUGAAGGAGUUAAUGUGUCAGGGGGCCGGGGGGGGAGAGAGGGAGGGAGGGAGGGAGAGGGAGGGGUGACACGUCUGUUUUGUUUUCACUCACUUCAACCUGCACUAAAAGAAGCGUGACUGUUAAAUCCAUUCAUGCCUGUUGUUGUUGUUGUUGUUGUUGCUUGAUGUGUUUUUACGUUCAGGCUAAAAGGCGCAAAGAAACGUGCAUGAAGUCAUUUCUUUAGCUCUGCAGCAAAAAGACUCAUUGACGACUGCAGACAUUUGGACGCGAUCCGCCAAACAAAACUGAGCUGCCGACUUUUUUUCUCCAACAGAAAAAAGGGGCCGACCUUUUUAGAGGCAUUCUAACAUGUUUCAUGUUCAAUGAGCAAAUCCCAUCACCGUCCUCCGCCGCUGGCCGGCCCCCCGAGCCGAUGCCAGUCAGCUGCCGACGCUUCCUGGAGACGAGGAGAUAAUUCCCAGAGAGACGACGCCUCUGAGGUCCAACGUGGUGAGAUCAGACUGCCUCAUCCGCUGAGUCCUGGUUCUGGUUCCUCUCCAGCUGGACCGAGCUUAGCCAGUUUCUUCUAGGUCUUUUUCUGUAUUUGCGCUAACCGUCAGAUAGUCGGCGACUGAUGUAUCAACAAUAUUCACUCUGAUCCAAUAAAUGUUGAUCUAAGAAUUGUAUGAUUCUUAAUCACAGCCAGGAUGCUUUGAUUUGUUAACUGUUUCUCUGCCUUAAAUGGGAACAACACCACACCUUUUGGAAUUUUAAGGACUGUUAGUUUGGGUGUAUUCAACAUUGGGGAACACAGGUUUUAAAUACUGUACAACGGGUUUUGUGUUUGGACUGUAUGAUACUUCUUUUGAGUCCAAAGGCCCGUGCGUCUACUUCCUCUCAGGUGGAGUCCAUGUCGGCGCCUCGGCACUAUCGUGCAUUAAAAUCAUCGUUGAAAACACUCUGAGGCGCGAGAGGUUGAAACGUCGAGUCCCGCUGUCGGGUAAAACAAAGCCCAGUUUGGUGUUUCCCUGCUAAUCCCGCGAAACAAAGUGAGGUCCAGAAUAAAGCCACGCAUUAAGCUGGCCCGGCUUCAAUGUGUGCGGAAACGGCAGCAGAGCGGCCGCAAGUAAUGGCAGCAGGCGUGUGGGAGUGUUUAAUGGAGAGUGGAGUAAUUUGCGCUUUUUAAUGAUGAUUAGAGGAGGAAAUUGGCUCAGAUUUACAGUGUCACCAGUGAAACAGAGGAGGGAGAAAAUAGAAUAAAGGCCUUUAAAUUCUCCCCUACUUGUGUGUGUGUGUGUGUUUUCAGGCGCGCACAGGUGUGAGACAGGGGAGAGACCCGUAACACACGACUGCCCCCCCCCCCACGCCGCCGUCCCACAACACCCAUCCACCCACACGGCUCCACACCUCCCCUUUCAGAGGAAAUGUAUCACUUUAAACCCACCGCAGCUCAGCUCACAGAACGUAAUGAAUCUGGACUCAAUUUUACGCCUAGCUGCCCAUCCCACUGACACACACACACACACACACACACACACACACACACACACACACAGUUAAUACCGAGGCCGUCUUACCUAUAGCUGGGUGGUGGUUCUUUGUGACGUAGAGAGGAAAUUGGAAAAGUGUGAUUAUGGCACUGAUUGGCAGAGCCUUUUCUGUCCCCUCAUCUACACUUUGCCCUCCGCUUUGACCUCUCCGUUAUCCGAUGAAAACCUCCUGACUUGCGUUGCCUCUUCGUCUCUUUCUUCUACUCCUCUCGGUCCCACCCUUCUUUUUCCCCCCCACAUUGAUUGCGCAGUUUGCCAAAUUAAUAGACUGAAUAAAAGUGCACUGAAGGAAUAAAAGUAAUUUGCUGAAGUUGGGAAUAAUAAUUAGAAAAUGUUCAUGGAUAUUUGUGCCGGUCAUGUUUUGCCUGCAAAGAAUACAUGGCUGAUAUUCAGAUUACAUUCUUUUAUUUAGUCUGACUUUGCCUUUGGAGGUGAAAUAUUACAUUUUGCCUUCAAGCAUACAUCAUAAUUUGAUAUAUAGUGUAAUAUGGAGUCAAGCCGGGUAAUGCUAGCUUUUAACCUUUAGCAUAUUGACUGGCACUCUCUACCUUUUGAAUGUGCUUGUUGCAUAUUCCCAUUAAGAUGUCCUCAUGGAAAGAAAGCAAAAAGAGGUAAAAUUGUAUUUAAUUACCACAACAUACUAGUGUGUGUGGUUGUUUUAGCAGAAAGAUGGCUAGCUUUUUGAGCUCUCCGAUGUUCCCCGAGCUAAUAUCCUUUAAUACGACACGUUAAGGAGACCUUUGAAAGGGAUUUAUGUUCUGAGCAACGCGCUCUCCUCCCGACGGCAAAUGUUCAAUGUUCCCUGAGUCAACAUGUAAAAAACAUUUACCGACAGCUUUAUGGUCUAGUGACAAAAACCCCUUCAAACUAACGCCCUCAAAUUUGCAGACAGAAAGUGUUCUUUACUUCAAACACUGAUAUCUGCACACUAGCUUAAGGGAUUUUAACCAUUAAAAACGUCAUUCUUCCUUCAUUCUCUUGCGAUUUGAACUGUGAAAGUAGCCCUUAUCACAGCUAGCUGUGUUAGCUUCAUAGCUUCAACUAGCCUCUUGUUGGACUGGCUUCGGCCUUGACUUUCCACAGGUUUCCACCUUCUUUUUUUACUAAGAAUUGACAUGUGACUCAGUUUGUAUUGUAGUAACUUCAGCAAAAAUGCACGUUGAGACAGAGUAACAACUAGCCUGUUAGCUAGCUACUCAUUUAGCAACUGGGAGAUGUUUCCCCUCUGAGCUUUCUGGGUGUGAACCAUUAAGGCCUCAACUUUAGAGGUAAUGACAGAUUUAACUGUUAUCAGUGAUAUUAAGUAUGUCCAGAUAAUUGGAUAUUAUUACCUGAUGACACCUUUGACGCAGCAUGGCUACGCUUUAGCUUAGCUACGCUUUAGCUUAGCUUAAACAAACAUUCACCAGGUAAACAAACAUUCACCAGGUAAAUAAACAUUCAUCAGGUAAACAGGCAUUUACCAGGUAAACAAACAUUCAUCAGGUAAACAGCCAUUCACCAGGUAAACAAACAUUCACCAGGUAAACAGGCAUUUAUCAGGUAAACAAACAUUCACCACGUAAAUAAACAUUCACCAGGUAAACAUGCAUUUACCAGGUAAAUAGCCCUUCACUAGGUAAACAAACAUUCACCAGGUAAACAGGACUUUACCAGGUAAACAAACAUUCACCAGGUAAACAAACAUUAACCGGGUAAACAGUCAUUCACUGGGUCGACAACAAACCUCGACACACUUUGAGACGUGGGCGUCGGAGCAGAACCAGCUACCCACAAUUCUCUUGGAAAGCAUUUCAAAUGAACAACAACAAAAAAGUCAAAUUUCGAAAUGUUAAUUGUGAAAAUCUCACAACAUAACUCUUCAGUUUGGUGAAAGCAAGCUGGCGCUGGAUUGGUCUCCCACCUCCACUGAGGCCUCCGUGGGCUUUGAGAGGAAAGCUCUUCAAAAUGGUUUUUAAAUGUGACAUUUAGUAUGAAAUCACUCAAACAAUUUUGAUCAUUGAUAACAACUUGAGAGGAGAGCGACCCUUAAAAUACAGGUCUGUUAUGAUUCACACAAACCGCACACACAGACACACACAAUAACGGCGCAUACAUUCUGUAAUUCUGAAGAUGAGCCGUGCAGCUUUUUUUUUAGGUGGAGAGCCGUAGCAUGCAUUUCUCUAUUAAGAUAUGUAAAUUCAUAAUCUCUCAAAUACCCAUUUUUUUUACAUCCAUUUCUCUCUGUCAUUCAGCCUUCAUUCUCUCCUCCUGUCGAGCCGUCUCUCUUUUUUUCCUCCUGGUUCGUGUGUCUGUCUGCUCUGUCGCACUCUCCCCUCUGCCUCCGUCCAAACAGCCGAACGCCAAUGAAGGAGACUCGUCUCGUCCCUAAAGGCCAAUUGUCAGGCAUAAUUACCAUCAGAGAAUUAGAGGUUGAAAAAGCAGAUUAGAUUAGAGCGCCCCCCCCCCCCCCCUCCUCCCCACAUCUUUCUACUCUUCUAAUGCAUUGUUCCUCUGCACUCUUUAUUUUUCUCAUUAUUAUAGAAUUAAAGAAGAAAGAAAUGGGAAAUUAAAGUGCGGAAAAGAAAAAGAACAGAAAAUAAUACUUUGCAUCACGACUGCGGCCAAUGAUUACUUUUAUAAUACAUUAAUUUGUCCACAAUCUUUUAUUGUAAUUGUUUUCUUUAAAAAAUGAGAAUUAAAAUCGUGAUAAAUGCCACUUGACAAUUUCCUAAAGCCCGUGGAAAAUUCUAUAAAUGUCUUGUCCGACUAACAAGAGAGUACUAAUAGAUAUUUCAUUUUAAUACAAAAAUCUUUGUAUUUGGGAAACUAGAAAAAGAAGACUUAAUGAUUAAUGACGCAACUUAUUAAUCUUAAAAACCAUAAAAAGAAUCAAAUCCAGUAAGGCAUUAAUCACCCAACCAUUUCCACUAAUUGUUCAGGGCUAAAUAACAGAAACGCCUCCAGAGGAAGCAGUUUGUAG
ensembl:lncRNA